rnacentral:lncRNA from 1 species
GGAAGAUGGAGCUAUUCUUCCUGCUGGGACUAUUCUCAAGCAGGUAGAGCUUUGGAUACUACCAGAAUGGAGCUGGCAUGCUACAAAGAAACUAUCUGGAUACAUUAGUUAUGCAAAAUUUGUUGCAUUUAACUCCUGCUAGCAGCAGUCUUUCUACAAGAGAUUUAGGAAGAAAUCCCUCUGUUGCAAACCAAAUUUGGAAGACUUACAGAAAAGCAUUUCCUACAGGUCCAAUUCCUAGCCUCACGAUCAC